rnacentral:rRNA from 1 species
UGCAAGUCGAGGGGCAUCGGGGAGUAGCAAUACUCUGCCGGCGACCGGCGCACGGGUGCGUAACGCGUAUGCAACUUACCUUACAGAGGGGGAUAACCCGUUGAAAGACGGACUAACACCGCAUAUACUUUUUUUAUUGCAUGAUAAAGGAAGGAAAUAUUUAUAGCUGUAAGAUAGGCAUGCGUCCCAUUAGCUAGUUGGUAGGGGUAACGGCUCACCAAGGCAACGAUGGGCUAGGGGAACUGAGAGGUUUAUGCUCCCACAUUUGUACCUGAGAUCCUGACGAGACUCGUACGGGAGGCAGCAAGUGAUGCAUAUUGGUCAAUGGUCGAGAGCCUGAAUCAGCCUAGUCGCGUGAAGGAUGAAUGGUCUUAUGGAUUGUAAACUUCUUUUGCGGGACGAAUCACGGGCGCUACGAGUAGUGUUAUGAAUGUAUCCCAGCGAAUAAGCAUCGGCUAACUCCGUGCCAGCAGCCGCGGUAAUACGGAGGAUGCGAGCGUUAUCCGGAUUUAUUGGGUUUAAAGGGUGCGUAGGCGGCUUUUUAAGUCAGCGGUGAAAGGUUCGGGCUCAACCCGGACAUUGCCGUUGAAACUGGGGAGCUUGAGUAUGGAUGAGGUAGGCGGAAUGCGUGGUGUAGCGGUGAAAUGCAUAGAUAUCACGCAGAACUCCGAUUGCGAAGGCAGCUUACUAAGGCAUUUCUGACGCUGAAGCACGAAAGCGUGGGUAUCAAACAGGAUUAGAUACCCUGGUAGUCCACGCAGUAAACGAUGAUUACUGGGCGUAUGCGAUAUAUAGUAUGCUCCUGAGUGAAAGCGUUAAGUAAUCCACCUGGGGAGUACGCCGGCAACGGUGAAACUCAAAGGAAUUGACGGGGGCCCGCACAAGCGGAGGAACAUGUGGUUUAAUUCGAUGAUACGCGAGGAACCUUACCCGGGAUUGAAAUGUAGGCGACAGGGGAUGAAAGUCCUUUUCCCUUCGGGGCGUCUAUGUAGGUGCUGCAUGGUUGUCGUCAGCUCGUGCCGUGAGGUGUCGGCUUAAGUGCCAUAACGAGCGCAACCCACAUUGGUAGUUACUAACAGUUUAAGCUGAGGACUCUACCGAGACUGCCGGCGUAAGCCGCGAGGAAGGUGUGGAUGACGUCCAAUUCAGCACGGUCGUUACAUUCGGGGCGACACUACGUGUUACAAUGGUGGGGACAAAGGGCAGCUACCUGGCGACAGGAUGCUAAUCUCCAAACCCCAUCCCAGUUCGGAUCGGAGUCUGCAACUCGACUCCGUGAAGCUGGAUUCGCUAGUAAUCGCGCAUCAGCCAUGGCGCGGUGAAUACGUUCCCGGGCCUUGUACACACCGCCCGUCAAGCCAUGGGAGUCUGGAGUACCUAAAGUCCG